rnacentral:rRNA from 1 species
UACGGGGGGGGCAAGCGUUGUUCGGAAUUACUGGGCGUAAAGGGCUCGUAGGCGGCCAACUAAGUCAGACGUGAAAUCCCUCGGCUUAACCGGGGAACUGCGUCUGAUACUGGAUGGCUUGAGUUCGGGAGAGGGAUGCGGAAUUCCAGGUGUAGCGGUGAAAUGCGUAGAUAUCUGGAGGAACACCGGUGGCGAAGGCGGCAUCCUGGACCGAUACUGACGCUGAUGCGCGAAAGCCAGGGGAGCGAACGGG